UGGGGUGUGGCUCAGUGGUAGAGUGCCUGCCUAGCGUGCAGGAAGCCUGGGUUCCAUCCCCAGCACUGCAA